rnacentral:rRNA from 1 species
AAUCAACGCUGGCGGCGUGCCUCAGACAUGCAAGUCGAACGCGAAAGUUCCCUUCGGGGGGCGAGUAGAGUGGCGCACGGGUGAGUAACACGUAGGUAAUCUACCUUUGGGUGGGGAAUAACAGCCGGAAACGGCUGCUAAUACCGCAUAAUGCAGCGGCUCGACAUCGAGACAGUUGUUAAAGCGGGGGAUCGCAAGACCUCGCGCCUAAAGAGGAGCCUGCGGCGGAUUAGCUUGUUGGUGAGGUAAUGGCUCACCAAGGCAUCGAUCCGUAGCCGGCCUGAGAGGGCGGUCGGCCACACUGACACUGACAUACGGGUCAGACUCCUACGGGAGGCAGCAGUCGGGAAUUUUGGGCAAUGGGCGCAAGCCUGACCCAGCAACGCCGCGUGAAGGAUGAAAUCCCUCGGGA